rnacentral:lncRNA from 1 species
AGCAAAUGAGUAAAACACAACAAUAAGGAAACUUAUAUCGGAAGAGAGAAAGCAAUUUAUACAAGGCUCCGAGUUAUUGAGAGCUCGACUCUGAGCUUAUCGAACUUGGCUCCUUGUGCAUGUCAGAUAAGGAAGAUAAGAGGAUAAAUAUAAGGAAGAUAAGGAUACAGAUAAGAGGAUAAAUAUAAGGAAGAUAAGGAUAAGGAAGAUAAGAAGAUAAAGAUAAGAAGAUAAAGAUAAGGAUAAAUAUAAGGAAGAUAAGGAUAAGGAAGAUAAGAAGAUAAAGAUAAGAAGAUAAAGAUAAGGAUAAAGAUAAAGAAGAUAAGGAUAAAGAUAAAGAUAAGAA